UUUUUUUUAGGAAACUUGUCUAUUGACUAACACCCAUCGACCUACUACAAUUGUAUGCAAAUCAGAUGUAGAACUUCUCAUGAUAAGCAAGAAGGAUUUUGAUUGUAUACUCUCAGAUACGAUACAAGACCAAUUUCAAGGAACACGCAACUUUUUAAGGAAUCUUCCAAUAUUCUCUUCCUGGCCAAAGGAGAAGAUUGAUUUUCUUAUCCACUGUUCCUUGCUUAGACGCUACAGGUUGUCAAUCGUAAAGUUCUGUAGUCUUCAAUAAACUGCAGAACUUAUGAGGCUAUUAAUGAUCUCUGUUAG